CCUACGGGAGGCAACAGUGAGGAAUAUUGGUCAAUGGUCGGGAGACUGAACCAGCCAAGCCGCGUGAGGGAUGAAGGUACAGAGUAUCGUAAACCUCUUUUGUCAGGGAACAAAGGCGGGGACGUGUCCCCGGAUGAGUGUACCUGAAGAAAAAGCAUCGGCUAACUCCGUGCCAGCAGCCGCGGUAAUACGGAGGAUGCGAUCGUUAUCCGGAUUGAUUGGGUGAAAAGGGUGCGCAGGCGGUCUGUUAAGUCAGCGGUCAAAGCCCGGGGCUCAACCCCGGCCCGCCGUUGAAACUGGCAGUCUCGAGUUGGAGAGAAGUAUGCGGAAUGCGCGGGGUAGCGGUGAAAUGCAUAGAUAGCGCGCAGAACUCCGAUUGCGAAGGCAGCAUGCCGGCUACACACUGACGCUGAGGCACGAAAGCGUGGGUAUCGAACAGGAUUAGAUACCCCAGUAGUC
rnacentral:rRNA from 1 species